AUCCUUGGAACUUGCAAGAGUAACAUCACUAAGGAAGCACGAAACGGUAGAUUAGUGCGAACGUUGUGGUUUUGUGUUGGAAGCUUAGCCGAGUCGAUGGAGCGUUACCUGAGGCCGUAAGUCGUGAGGACGACGACGUUUUCGUGGAGUAUCCCGGG